CACGGCGGCGCGCCGGCCGCGGAAGAGGACCCCGCCGCGACCGCGUCCCCUCGGGUCCUUGAGCCGGUGCGGACCGCGGAGCCAUGGCCUUGAGGCUGCUGAGAGGGCUCCCCGCCUCGGCGGCGGCGCGGGGCCUGGCGGCGGUCGUCCAGCGCGUGGAAGGAAUUCAUACAGGCGCCCAGUGCAGGCUACAGUAUGGCCCUUUGGCAUACAUACUCGGCGAAAGAACCACCAAAAAAUUCACAGAAUACAGCAAAGUGAUAACUGUAGACGGCAAUAUAUGUUCUGGAAAAGGCGAGCUUGCAAAACAAAUAGCAGAGAAACUAGGCUUGAAGCACUUCCCCGAAGCCGGGAUCCACUACGCGGACGGCGCGACGGGAGACGGGAGGCCCCUGGACGUGGAGCUUAGCGGCAGCUGCAGCGUGGAGAAGUUUUACGAGGACCCGAGAAGUAACGACGGCAACAGCUACCGCCUGCAGUCCUGGCUGUACGCCAGCCGCCUCCUGCAGUACGCCGACGCCCUGGAGCACUUGCUGAGCACGGGACAAGGUGUCGUAUUGGAACGUUCCAUCUUCAGCGACUUUGUUUUCUUGGACGCGAUGUAUAACCAAGGAUUCAUCCGGAAGCAGUGUGUGGAGCACUACAACGAGGUGAAGAAGGUCACCGCCUCUGAGUACCUGCCUCCCCACGUGGUCAUCUACAUCGAUGUGCCGGUUCCGGAGAUCCAGAGUCGGAUUCAGAAGAAAGGAAAUCCACACGAGAUGAAGGUCACCUCGGCCUAUCUGCAGGACAUCGAGAACGCCUACAAGAAAACCUUCCUGCCUGAGAUGAGUGAGAAGUGUGAGGUUUUACAGUAUAGCGCAAGGGAAGCUCAAGAUGCGGAAAAGGUGGUGGAGGACAUCGAGUACCUCAAGUACGACAAGGGGCCGUGGCUGGAGCAGGAUGACCGGACUCUUCACCACCUGCGGAUGCUGCUCUUCCGCCCCCGAGUCGGACAGUUAAUUAAUCGAUUGCCAAUAUCAACUCGGCAGAUCCUUUGCUGCUUCCGUGUGCCGAGCCCUGAGCCAGGUGUAGAGGAAUUAGAAUCAAAUAGCAGUCUUGCUUUCAUCUCCGGUGGGCACUUUGUCCUCCAGCUCCAGGCAGAGGAUGGUGGGGACGCGGCCGUGCGUCCCGCUACCGCUCAGCUUGCCAGACAGCCCGGCCCUCGCGGACACACAGCAGAGGGCCUUCUCCUGCGGGUGCCCUGGCGUCCUCAGGGGACCACUCCCUUCAGGGUUCAGAAUAAGCUGGAGGUGCUGAAUUACACAACCAUUCCCAUCUAUCUCCCAGAAAUCACAAUCGGAGCUCACCAGAGUGACCGCAUCUUCCAGAAAUUCACAGAGAUUCUCAGCGUGGACGUUGUUUAGUUGAGCGGAGCGCGUAGAGUGCUCUUCAGCCUGCCCUUCGCCCGUCGGGGCUGGAAGACGCGCCGAGACGUGCGCUGCGAGUGCCCCUGCACACGCUGCCCGGAGAGCGCGUCCCCGAGACUCCGCAUCGGUCCGUGUGCCCCGUGACCUCGAGUCCCGCGUGUGAGGAUAACACGUGUCCCCCGGAGAAGACCGCCAGCGCACGACGCGGGCUUUUCGCCAGCUGCCGGGACGCAAGUACUGCCCCGGGUACAAUGCGGACGUGGGUGACAAGUGGAUCUGGCUGAAGUGACGGACCCUCCUCCGUGGCCUGCAUCGCGAUGACGAGGACACUUCCGGUCUGCCCCACUCGUGGGGUCCCUGCAGCUUACUCGGGGGGAGGGGUGGGUGAGCCGGAACCAGGCCGCCUGUAGUGUAGCUGCUGGGGGACCGGGAGCCUCUAGUGUUUGGGAGGCGGGAAUCUUGUAGCUUUGGGAAUGAUCCAGAAUUAUCACCGGGGAAAUAAAUCUGCUAUUAAAGACCGGAUGUUACUAGAUGUUUCUAGAAGAAUUCCCUUUCAUUGCAGCCGUGUUCAGUGUCAUGCAGAUUUUGUACCUGUCUUCACGCUUCGAGAAAUAAAAAUAAAACUGUU